AACGAGCGCAACCCCUACUUGUUAGCUGCCAUCAUUCAGUUGGGCACUCUAGCGAGACUGCCGGUAAUAAACCGGAGGAAGGUGGGGAUGACGUCAAAUCAUCAUGCCCCUUAUGACCUGGGCUACACACGUGCUACAAUGGUUGGUACAACGAGUUGCGAGUCGGUGACGGCGAGCUAAUCUCUUAAAGCCAAUCUCAGCUCGGAUUGUAGGCUGCAACUCGCCUACGUGAAGUCGGAAUCGCUAGUAAUCGCGGAUCAGCACGCCGCGGUGAAUACGUUCCCGGGCCUU
rnacentral:rRNA from 1 species